UCGGCCUUUUACAAACUUCGGCUAGGGGUAUUUUAUACCCAACAGCUAGGGAUCAAAAAAAUAUGCAGUCAAACUAUGUAGCCUCACUGUGAAUAGCCAACACACCAUAAGUCAAAGGAUCAGUCACACCACUAUAGCAUCGAGAAGACCACUGAUGAGUGACUGACAUCCUAGUGAUUUCUUGUGUUGGUCACACUCAAUGCAAGUUGUUCUCUAACAACCACAUGUACUCUUACCCCAGUGCCUCUACACCGC
rnacentral:lncRNA from 1 species